AACGUAGGUUCCGAGCGUUAUCCGGAUUUACUGGGCGUAAAGCGCGUUCAGGCGGUUUGGCAAGUCGGGCAUGAAAUCUCUCGGCUCAACCGGGAGAGGUUGUCCGAUACUGCUGGACUUGAGGGCAGUAGAGGGUGGUGGAAUUCCGGGUGUAGUGGUGAAAUGCGUAGAUAUCCGGAGGAACACCAGUGGCGAAAGCGGCCACCUGGACUGCACCUGACGCUGACACGCGAAAGCUAGGGAGCGAACGGG
rnacentral:rRNA from 1 species